AAAUAAAGACCUGUAUGAAUGGCUAAAUGAGUAUUUUACUGUCUCCUUUAACUAAUUAGUGAAACUGAUCUUUCAGUACAAAAGCUGAAAUAAAAAUAUAAGACGAGAAGACCCUGUGGAGCUUUAAAUUUUAACCAAUUUAAUAUUACCCAUAUAUUUAUGACAAAAAUUUUUUAGUUGGGGCGACUUUGGAGUAAAGUUUAACCUCCAAGAAAAGGUAAAACCUAGACAAGGCUAACCAGCCAAUCUAUACGACCCAGUAUUACUGACCAACGAACCAAGUUACCCCAGGGAUAACAGCGCUAUCUUCUUCAAGAGUUCAUAUCGACAAGAAGGUUUACGACCUCGAUGUUGGAUCAGGACACCCAAAUGGUGCAGCCGCUAUUAAAGGUUCGUUUGUUCAACGAUUAAUAGU
rnacentral:rRNA from 1 species